CAGGCCACGCGAGCCCGUGUUUUCCUUUCUUUUUCUUCGUCUGCGGGUCCCACCGCCAGGUCAGCGUCUUCAAGCUCAGCAACGAACAGGCAACGCACGAGCACGAGCCCGGCCGUUUUCAGUUUCUUGCGUUUCUCUUUUCUUUGAUUCCCGGAGAUUUAAGGCACCAUGUGAUGAGCCGUUUUGUCCUACAAAUAGCCCUGUCAAUUCUCUCCAUUUCCCCUCAAACCUCACAGAACGAGAGCCACCAGGCUACUCGCAAACCAUCUCGCAAUCUUGCGGAAACUGCUGCCGUUCGUCGACGACUACGGUUCGUCGGCGACCGACGCCACAGUCCGCAUGAGCAUCUCUGACGAGCGAUUCCGGCUGACUCCUUCCGCGCCGUCGUCGUCUACUUCGCCAUCAAUCUCGUCUCGUCUUCGUGCGUUGAUAGGUAUAACCCAAGCUUCCUAAAUCCUUGUAUAUCGCUGGGAACGGCUGAUGCCAACGCUGCCCGCCGUGACGCCAACGACCAUGGCGAGCCGGAGGACCGCCGGAGACGACACCCGAAUUCCGCCGAAGUGCGCCGCCUCCGUUCGCUUGUAGCGGCCACGCAGGGCAGAGGAAAACGCCAUCAUGCACUCGUAGCCCCGUGAAGCUGCUUUCCGUCGACCACCUUACUGUUGCACAGCGCCGGCAACCACCACGACCAAUCAUCGCCAAUAUCGUACGGAGUGCAACGAGUGUGAUUGUGAGAAGUGUAUGAUCAUCAAGUACCAAAAGGCAAGUGUCACUCAUGUCCUAAUGUUUUCUAUGCAUGUAGUUUUUUUUUACUUAGUAGAAUUUGCAUGUGUAGGAUGUUUUCAAGUAAAAAGUAUAUAUGCUAUGCUAAUCCUAUAGUCUUAGGAUUCCUUUAGUUUUCCUCAAGUUGCCAUCGUAAGUAGUUUGCUUAGCCAUGCUACUAGAUACGUGGUUGGGAUAUCAUGAUGAGAUAUGAUGAAGAAAAAUAUGUUUUUGUUAUAAAUGAAAACAACUUGAUGAAUGAAACACCUGGGCGGAUUGGUACGAGUGGAGCGUCUGCACGGUGAAAAUUGGUGGGGUCCGCCGCCCAGGAACAAAAGAGAUUGGAAAGGUUUCAUGUUUAGUAGCUUCUUGUACAGCCGCAUGUCAUAUGGGCUCUGUCUUGACUAAGUAGGUUGUAGGGUCCUGUCCCGACGUGACCAGCAGAUGUAGAUGUGUAGGUUGGUACGGGUCCGUCCAGAGGGCUCAGGGUCUUACUUCCGAAAACAGUCUCGUCUUAGUCUUCUCCCAACCAUUUGAGCAAAAUGAGCAUCAUGGUGGAAAUGGGGCUGACUAAGUCGUGCGGGUAAAGUGUACAAACCUCUGCAGAGUGUUAAAAACUAAGUACUUAGCCGUGUCCCCGGUUACGGACAACUUUGAGCAACUGGACCUGGAGCUGUUAGAAGAUCUCUCUCAUCCCAAUUUCAUAAUAAAACUUGAUGGGUAAACUUGGGUAGCAUUAAGCUGGACUCUAGUGUCUAUCCCUGGUGAGCCAGCGUGAUGAGAACUUGGGUUCAUGCUUUUAGGGUUAUAUUUUCAAAGAUAAAUGAUGUUUACAAAAGAUAGGGAAAAUGCUUGCUUUUCUGCAAAGAGCCUAAACUCCACCAGCCAAAUAUACAUGUAGGUAUUAGGUGCCAUUUGUGUCCACUAAAUAGUGACAUCUUGCCAAUACAUUCAAAGUAUUGACCAAAUGUUUUUGGCUGUAACUUUACCUGUUGCAGAUAUUUUGAUAGACGAGUGAGAUACGAUGAUUAGGGUUACGGGUCUAUCCUCAACAUGCUCGCCUGUGGCACAUGAAGAUGAAGGACUCCAUGCUAUAUGUUUGUUCAUUGUAAAUCUCUGAUGUAAUGCUAGUCUUGUGCUAUGCAAUUUGUAAGUCACUAUGUAUAUAUGGAUCAUGCGAUGUAAUAAAGACCUUUGUUUCUUGGUAUUACAUCUUAAACUGUGUGUGCUAGCGAUUGAUCCAGGGACUAGCACAAUAAAGCACAGGGAUCGGCACCCUACCGGGUGAGGUCAC